rnacentral:sRNA from 1 species
UUUUUUUUUCUCUACCACACAACCCCUUUUAUUAGUGUAAGA